CGCGCUACACUGACAGGGCCAGCGAGUUUUUUUCCUUGACCGAAAGGUCUGGGUAAUCUUGUGAAACCCUGUCGUGCUGGGGAUAGAGCAUUGCAAUUAUUGCUCUUCAACGAGGAAUUCCUAGUAAGCGUGAGUCAUCAGCUCGCGUUGAUUACGUCCCUGCCCUUUGUACACACCGCCCGUCGUUACUACCGAUUGAAUGGCUUAGUGAGAUUUUGGGAUUGGCCUCGGGGAGUCGGCAACGACACCCUGUGGGCUGAGAACUUGAUCAAACUUGGUCAUUUAGAGGAAGUACAAGUCGUAACAAGGUUUCCGUAGGUGAACCUGCGGAAGGAUCAUU
rnacentral:rRNA from 1 species